rnacentral:piRNA from 1 species
UCUCGAAUCCACACAUACUUU